AGAAGUUUACUUUAUCUGAUAAUUUUCAGAUCUAAAAUAUAUGUACAUUACGAAAACGUGAAAAAUAACUUUAACAUAAUAAGUCUACUAGACCCUAAAACUAAGUAGACUUCAUUUGAAAUCUACCAAACCUCAAACUCUAAAUCCUAAACUACAAACCCCAAACUCUAAUAUCACAAAAUUUCUUAAUUAGUCAUUGUAACAAAUAUUAAAAUAUUGUAAGAUAUAAUUACUCAAC
rnacentral:lncRNA from 1 species